CCCUAGUAACGGCGAGUGAAGCGGCAACAGCUCAAAUUUGAAAGCUAGCCUUCGGGUUCGCAUUGUAAUUUGUAGAGGAUGAUUUGGGGAAGCCGCCUGUCUAAGUUCCUUGGAACAGGACGUCAUAGAGGGUGAGAAUCCCGUAUGUGACAGGAAAUGGCACCCUAUGUAAAUCUCCUUCGACGAGUCGAGUUGUUUGGGAAUGCAGCUCUAAAUGGGAGGUAAAUUUCUUCUAAAGCUAAAUAUUGGCGAGAGACCGAUAGCGCACAAGUAGAGUGAUCGAAAGAUGAAAAGCACUUUGGAAAGAGAGUUAAAAAGCACGUGAAAUUGUUGAAAGGGAAGCGCUUGCAAUCAGACUUGUUUAAACUGUUCGGCCGGUCUUCUGACCGGUUUACUCAGUUUGGACAGGCCAGCAUCAGUUUCGGCGGCCGGAUAAAGGCUCUGGGAAUGUGGCCUCCACUUCGGUGGAGGUGUUAUAGCCCAGGGUGUAAUACGGCCAGCCGGGACUGAGGUCCGCGCUCGGCUAGGAUGC
rnacentral:rRNA from 1 species